ACUUGAUUAGUUUAAAAAAAACAAAGAUUUGUGGUGUCUAAAAUACAUUAUGUAUCAAGUC
rnacentral:tRNA from 1 species